GACGAACGCUGGCGGCGUGCUUAACACAUGCAGGUCGAACGGAAAGGCCUGCUUUCCCUUGUGGAUUGCGGGUGCUCGAGUGGCGAACGGGUGAGUAACACGUGAGUGAUCUGCCCCCAACUUGGGUAUAAGCCUGGGAAACUGGGUCUAAUUCUCGAUAGGACUGCAGGGUGGUGCCUGUGGUGGAAAACGAUUUUCUAGUGGUUGGGGAUGAGCUCGCGGCCUAUCAGCUUGUUGGUGGGGUAAUGGCCUACCAAGGCGGCGACGGGUAGCCGGCCUGAGAGGGUGGACGGCCACAUUGGGACUGAGAUACGGCCCAGACUCCUACGGGAGGCAGCAGUGGGGAAUAUAGCACAAUGGGCGGAAGCCUGAUGCAGCGACGCCGCGUGGGGGAUGACGGCCUUCGGGUUGUAAACUCCUUUCGACCGCGAGGAAGCCACCUGGUUGGAAGGGUGGUGACGGUAGUGGUAGAAGAAGCACCGGCUAACUACGU
rnacentral:rRNA from 1 species